rnacentral:rRNA from 1 species
AGUGAACGCUGGCGGUAGGCCUAACACAAGCAAGUCGAACGGCAGCACAGGAGAGCUUGCUCUCUGGGUGGCGAGUGGCGGACGGGUGAGGAAUACAUCGGAAUCUACUAUGUCGUGGGGGCGAACGGCGGGAAACUUACGAUGAUACCGCAUACGACCUAAGGGUGAAAGCAGGGGACCGUCGGGCAUCGCGCGAGUGAAUGAGCCGAUGUAGUCUUAGCUAGGUGGCGGGGUAAAGGCCCACCGAGGCGACAAUCCGUACAUGGUCUGAGAGGAUGGUCAGCCACACUGGAACUGAGACACGGUCCAGACCCCUACGGGAGGCAGCAGUGGGGAAUAUUGGACAAUGGGCGCAAGCCUGAUCCAGCCAUACCGCGUGGGUGAAGAAGGCCUUCGGGUUGUAAAGCCCUUUUGUUGGGAAAGAAAUCCAGCUGGCUAAUACCCGGUUGGGAUGACGGUACCCAAAGAAUAAGCACCGGCUAACUUCGCGCCAGCCGCCGCGGUAA